ACUGCUCUGGCUGCAACAUCCGUCACCCCAUUGAUUGCCAGGGUUGAUUCGGGCUGAUCUGGCUGGCUAGGCAGGUGUCUCCUUCCUCCCUCAACAGCUCCAUGUGCGUGCCUCCCAAAGCUGAAUGGUCAGUCGAAGAGGACGGCCUUCCCAGAAUAGAGAUGGACCGGUCAUUUGGUCUAGGGUAUACGAGUAGCUGCUGUGCCCUACUAGACCCUCCAAACAAUGGGUAGCAAACUUUCCAUUAUCUAUAGCAUGUUCUAUGUGAAGUUAGAGUUAAAAAAAUCUUCAGAAAA
rnacentral:snRNA from 1 species